UUUUAAAUUCUUUUAAGGAGGAAUUUUAAUUGUUUUAUUCCUUUUUUAAAUAAAUUUGUUAUUCCUCUAACUGGUUUUACUCACUGUUUUAAACACCACUGGUUUUAACUGCUAUCCCCCAAUAUAAAGGACCUGUUUUAAUCUUUUAUCUUUAAAUUGGAAUCUUGGUAGUUUUAAGAGGUCCUAGGCCUCAGCCAAAACCUAGGUGGCGUUGUCGGCCCCCGUCCGAAUUUUACUCAAGCACGCCCCUAGUUCCA